GAUCGCGAACCCUUCUUCCCUCUUCCCCUCGUUCCCUCCCUCGCGGAAGACUCAACACCGAUAGGAAACCUUCUACGAAAGCUCAUCGCCAGAGCUCGACGAAAACCAGCGGAGUCCAGGCUAUCUUCGACCAAGGGAUCUCUGUUUUGGUGGUUCCUGCGGCCGAUCGUCGACGGCACGGUGGCUAGGGCACGAUGAGGGAUAAGAUCUCGCACUAUCUCCAACCGAUCGAUCUUCUCUUUUCUCUCCUCCUUUCCCCUCUCGCAACUCUGCCCUAGAUCGUCGACCGCCAUCCUUUGUGUGCCACAUCUUCGAUUAGCAGAUCUCUCCCUCUUGCUUCACUGCAAUGCCAAGAGCACGAGCCGACAACAAGGCUGGCAAUUUCCUCCUGUGCCCUGUUUCCUCUUCAGAACAUACACGUCGCUGGAUUGUCAUUGCAUCGCCUACCUCCCAUCGCUGCUCUCUGCCGUGAACAACCCACACUGAUGCCCUAACUCCUCUGUUCGCUGCUCCCGUGAGCAACCAGAUUUAAGGCAGUGAGGUGAUUUCCAGCAACUUCUUCAACCGAUAGCAACAUAUUUGGUUGAGGAUCAAGAGCAGUGACUUGGAGUUGAGGACAUUGAUUCGAGAUGAGCGUCUCGAUGCCGGAUUUGGUUUGAUUCGAUCUUCUAUUUGAGGCGGGUACUUCUGACUUAUCUCUUGAUAUAGUUAUGUUAGAUAUGCAUAAUAGUUUAUUUCUAGUGGUAAUGAUUAUGUUUGCAUCUGAUUGAUAUGCCACUAUCUAGUUCCUGUUGUCUGCCUAUGUUCCUAUCUGUUAUGCAUUCCUACUUAUAUUUUCUUUGAUUGACGCCAUGUGUAUCCAUGUUCAUAGAAAUAGUGACUUACAUUGCCUAUUGUGUAGUAGUCUUGUUGUUCGUCAUAUCUAAUUUGUGUACUUAGGUUGUUGAUACCUAGACCAUCGUAUGAUUUAUUUCCUUUUAGUGUUUUUUAUAUGGAGGGUAUACGGUCUGUAUCUACAUGUUUAGUGUCAUGCACCAUCUUGGAUGAUUACAUGCUGGAGAUGGUCAGCUCCAUUAUUGUUGAGCGCAUCGCCAGUUACAUGAUCUACACACACAACCACUCAUGAGUUAGUGGUACAUCAGGCAGGGUGUGUGUAGCUUGCUCUGUCAGGGCUCCGCUGGUCCACUCUUGGGUAGCGAUGACUGCAGCGUGUAGCGGGCUCCCCCACUAUAUUUGGGGUAGGAGGAUAUGUGUACUCUGAUAGCAUCCUGUCCACUCGGUCACUCAGUAGCAGUGAUGGCAGAGUGCACAGUUGUCAUAGCCCUACCCACUCGGUCUCACUAUCGCGUGUGAGAUGGUUGACUGGCGUCAGGGGUGACACAUGCCAUUUUUGCACCAUAUGCAUAGAUUGCAUUUAUUAUUUGCGAUUGUUGCAUUUUGGAUGCUGCAUUUGUUUGGGUUGCAUAUGUUUGAUAUGCAUACAUGUGAUAUUUUGUAUCUGGUUUGACGACCCUUAUAUUCAGAUAGGAGGUCCUGGUGAGUACAGUUUUCUUCAGUCUUUUCAGUUUGCAUUUCCUACUUUUGUUUAGAAAACUAUACCACAUAAUGAUUAUUGCUAGUCAUAUCUUAUUAUGCAUGUCUAUCUGGUAUCCGCUGAGUUGGUUGAACUCACCCCAAUGAUUAUUCUUAUUUCAGGUUGAAGCUGUCAGGAGGUUCUAGCUGCUAGUCCCCUGGCCACAAGAAUUUUCGCUUUGGUCUUUUGGUUUCUGUUUAUUUAUUUAGAGUUAUGUUUCAGACUUGUUCUGGUUUUGGUACUCUGGAUUUUAUAUGGCUUGUCUUUGAGUAAUGUACUGGUUGGGUUUUGUUUGCUUGGUGGAUUGUAUUUGGUUUGUUUUGUUACGUGCUUAUCGGAUGAGCAGAAGAGGUAA